UACGGGGGGAGCAAGCGUUGUUCGGAUUUACUGGGCGUAAAGGGCGCGUAGGCGGCGUAACAAGUCACUUGUGAAAUCUCCGGGCUUAACCCGGAGCGGCCAAGUGAUACUGUUGUGCUAGAGUGCGGAAGGGGCUACUGGAAUUCUCGGUGUAGCGGUGAAAUGCGUAGAUAUCGAGAGGAACACCUGCGGCGAAGGCGGGUUGCUGGGCUGACACUGACGCUGAGGCGCGAAAGCUAGGGGAGCGAACGGG
rnacentral:rRNA from 1 species